CUGCCGGCGACCGGCGCACGGGUGAGUAACACGUAUGGAACCUGCCCGCAGCAGGGGGAUAAGCGGAAGAAAUUCCGUCUAAUACCGCGUAACAACGUUGGGAGGCAUCUCCCGAUGUUUAAAGGUUUAUCGGCUGCGGAUGGCCAUGCGGCGCAUUAGCUAGUCGGCGGGGUAACGGCCCACCGAGGCGACGAUGCGUAGGGGUUCUGAGAGGAAGGUCCCCCACACUGGUACUGAGACACGGACCAGACUCCUACGGGAGGCAGCAG
rnacentral:rRNA from 1 species